CACUAUCGUUAACUGAAUACAUAGGUUAACGAGGCGAACCGGGGGAACUGAAACAUCUAAGUACCCCGAGGAAAAGAAAUCAACCGAGAUUCCCCCAGUAGCGGCGAGCGAACGGGGAGCAGCCCAGAGUCUGAAUCAGCUUGUGUGUUAGUGGAACGGUCUGGAAAGUCCGACGGUACAGGGUGAUAGUCCCGUACACCAAAAUGCACAGGCUGUGAACUCGAAGAGUAGGGCGGGACACGUGGUAUCCUGUCUGAAUAUGGGGGGACCAUCCUCCAAGGCUAAAUACUCCUGACUGACCGAUAGUGAACCAGUACCGUGAGGGAAAGGCGAAAAGAACCCCGGCGAGGGGAGUGAAAAAGAACCUGAAACCGUGUACGUACAAGCAGUGGGAGCACCUUCGGGUGUGACUGCGUACCUUUUGUAUAAUGGGUCAGCGACUUAUAUUCUGUAGCAAGGUUAACCGUAUAGGGGAGCCGCAGGGAAACCGAGUCUUAACUGGGCGUUAAGUUGCAGGGUAUAGACCCGAAACCCGGUGAUCUAGCCAUGGGCAGGUUGAAGGUUGGGUAACACUAACUGGAGGACCGAACCGACUAAUGUUGAAAAAUUAGCGGAUGACUUGUGGCUGGGGGUGAAAGGCCAAUCAAACCGGGAGAUAGCUGGUUCUCCCCGAAAGCUAUUUAGGUAGCGCCUCGUGAACUCAUCUUCGGGGGUAGAGCACUGUUUCGGCUAGGGGGUCAUCCCGACUUACCAACCCGAUGCAAACUACGAAUACCGAAGAAUGUUAUCACGGGAGACACACGGCGGGUGCUAACGUCCGUCGUGAAGAGGGAAACAACCCAGACCGCCAGCUAAGGUCCCAAAGUCAUGGUUAAGUGGGAAACGAUGUGGGAAGGCACAGACAGCCAGGAUGUUGGCUUAGAAGCAGCCAUCAUUUAAAGAAAGCGUAAUAGCUCACUGGUCGAGUCGGCCUGCGCGGAAGAUGUAACGGGGCUAAACCAUGCACCGAAGCUGCGGCAGCGACACUAUGUGUUGUUGGGUAGGGGAGCGUUCUGUAAGCCUGCGAAGGUGUGCUGUGAGGCAUGCUGGAGGUAUCAGAAGUGCGAAUGCUGACAUAAGUAACGAUAAAGCGGGUGAAAAGCCCGCUCGCCGGAAGACCAAGGGUUCCUGUCCAACGUUAAUCGGGGCAGGGUGAGUCGACCCCUAAGGCGAGGCCGAAAGGCGUAGUCGAUGGGAAACAGGUUAAUAUUCCUGUACUUGGUGUUACUGCGAAGGGGGGACGGAGAAGGCUAUGUUAGCCGGGCGACGGUUGUCCCGGUUUAAGCAUGUAGGCUGGUUGUCCAGGCAAAUCCGGAUAAUCAAGGCUGAGGUGUGAUGACGAGGCACUACGGUGCUGAAGUAACAAAUGCCCUGCUUCCAGGAAAAGCCUCUAAGCAUCAGGUAACAUCAAAUCGUACCCCAAACCGACACAGGUGGUCAGGUAGAGAAUACCAAGGCGCUUGAGAGAACUCGGGUGAAGGAACUAGGCAAAAUGGUGCCGUAACUUCGGGAGAAGGCACGCUGGUGUGUAGGUGAAGUCCCUGCGGAUGGAGCUGAGACCAGUCGAAGAUACCAGCUGGCUGCAACUGUUUAUUAAAAACACAGCACUGUGCAAACACGAAAGUGGACGUAUACGGUGUGACGCCUGCCCGGUGCCGGAAGGUUAAUUGAUGGGGUUAUCCGUAAGGAGAAGCUCUUGAUCGAAGCCCCGGUAAACGGCGGCCGUAACUAUAACGGUCCUAAGGUAGCGAAAUUCCUUGUCGGGUAAGUUCCGACCUGCACGAAUGGCGUAAUGAUGGCCAGGCUGUCUCCACCCGAGACUCAGUGAAAUUGAACUCGCUGUGAAGAUGCAGUGUACCCGCGGCAAGACGGAAAGACCCCGUGAACCUUUACUAUAGCUUGACACUGAACAUUGAGCCUUGAUGUGUAGGAUAGGUGGGAGGCUUUGAAGCGUGGACGCCAGUCUGCGUGGAGCCAACCUUGAAAUACCACCCUUUAAUGUUUGAUGUUCUAACGUUGGCCCCUGACCGGGGUUGCGGACAGUGUCUGGUGGGUAGUUUGACUGGGGCGGUCUCCUCCCAAAGCGUAACGGAGGAGCACGAAGGUUAGCUAAUCCUGGUCGGACAUCAGGAGGUUAGUGCAAUGGCAUAAGCUAGCUUGACUGCGAGCGUGACGGCGCGAGCAGGUGCGAAAGCAGGUCAUAGUGAUCCGGUGGUUCUGAAUGGAAGGGCCAUCGCUCAACGGAUAAAAGGUACUCCGGGGAUAACAGGCUGAUACCGCCCAAGAGUUCAUAUCGACGGCGGUGUUUGGCACCUCGAUGUCGGCUCAUCACAUCCUGGGGCUGAAGUAGGUCCCAAGGGUAUGGCUGUUCGCCAUUUAAAGUGGUACGCGAGCUGGGUUUAGAACGUCGUGAGACAGUUCGGUCCCUAUCUGCCGUGGGCGCUGGAGAAUUGAGGGGGGCUGCUCCUAGUACGAGAGGACCGGAGUGGACGCAUCACUGGUGUUCGGGUUGUCAUGCCAAUGGCACUGCCCGGUAGCUAAAUGCGGAAGAGAUAAGUGCUGAAAGCAUCUAAGCACGAAACUUGCCCCGAGAUGAGUUCUCCCUGAGACUUUAAGUCUCCUGAAGGAACGUUGAAGACGACGACGUUGAUAGGCCGGGUGUGUAAGCGCAGCGAUGCGUUGAGCUAACCGGUACUAAUGAACCGUGAGGCUUAACCUU
rnacentral:rRNA from 2 species